rnacentral:rRNA from 1 species
UCCGGUUGAUCCUGGCAGAGGCUAUUGCUAUCAGGGUUUGACUAAGCCAUGCGAGUCGAGAGGUGAAAGACCUCGGCAUACUGCUCAGUAACACGUGGAUAAUCUGCCCUCAGAAGAAGAAUAAUCCCGGGAAACUGGGGCUAAUACUUCAUAGGAGACGGGUGCUGGAAUGCUCUGUCUCUGAAAGGUCCGCCGUCUGAGGAUGAGUCUGCGUCCGAUUAGGUUGUUGUUGGGGUAACGGCCCAACAAGCCUUUGAUCGGUACGGGUUGUGGGAGCAAGAGCCCGGAGAUGGAUUCUGAGACAUGAAUCCAGGCCCUACGGGGCGCAGCAGGCGCGAAAACUUUACAAUGCGAGCAAUCGUGAUAAGGAAACCCUGAGUGCCUGUCAACGCAGGCUGUUCUGGUGUCUAACACACACCAGGAGAAAGGGCGGGGCAAGACCGGUGCCAGCCGCCGCGGUAAUACCGGCUGCUCGAGUGAUAGCCACUUUUACUGGGCUU